rnacentral:rRNA from 1 species
CGAGAAUCUUCGGCAAUGGGCGCAAGCCUGACCGAGCGACGCCGCGUGGAGGACGAAGGCCUUCGGGUUGUAAACUCCUGUUGAGGGGGAAGAAGGGCCGUUAAAAGCCUUGACUGAUCCCUGGAGGAAGCACGGGCUAAGUUCGUGCCAGCAGCCGCGGUAAGACGAACCGUGCGAACGUUAUUCGGAAUCACUGGGCUUAAAGCGCGUGUAGGCGGGGCGGCACGUCGGCCGUUGAAAUCCCCCGGCUCAACCGGGGAAGUGGCGCCGAUACGACCGCCCUCGAGGGGCGUAGGGGGAGCCGGAACUUCCGGUGGAGCGGUGAAAUGCGUUGAGAUCGGAAGGAACGCCCGUGGCGAAAGCGGGCUCCUGGACGCCUACUGACGCUGAGACGCGAAAGCCAGGGGAGCGAAC